rnacentral:rRNA from 1 species
GCGGAGAAAUUCCAAUCGAACUCGGAGAUAGCUGGUUCUCCUCGAAAUAGCUUUAGGGCUAGCGUCGUGUAAUUGAGUAAUGGAGGUAGAGCACUGAAUGGGCUAGGGGCUAUAGUAGUUACCGAACCCUAUCAAACUCCGAAUGCCAUAUACUUGUAUCACGGCAGUCAGACUGCGAAUGAUAAGAUCCGUAGUCAAAAGGGAAACAGCCCAGACCAUCAGCUAAGGU